CGGGAAACAUAGGGAAGUCACCCGGAGCUUCCCAGGAAUGGCGUGCGAGCAGGACCGGUAACAUGGUCUUACGGCCUCGAGUGUCACGAUAUCCUGGGGGUAUGUUUGAAUAGCAUCAUGAAGUGAUUCUUCUGACCAGCAAGGACAGUAAUUUGAAGCCUUGAAAGAAAUUUUGAAAAUGGACCGCAAGUAACUCAGCGGACAUUUUAGCCUGCAUUAGCAAUGACAUCAGGAGCGCAGAAGAGUGCCCUUCUGUUCCUGAAAAGACUUGCUAACUGUGAUGACGAUGGCUGCCUGCAUUCUUAUCAGGCUUCACAGGAUCAAGGACUCCCUGCUAUUUGCUAAAGAAGCCUCACUGUGGUGUCAAGGUCCUGUGCACGGGGUCUGCGCGUUUUAAUUAACGUGUAGGGCUUUUCUUUGUCUAUUUGGUUUUAGCUAAUACAGCUAUCAGUAUGUACCAGCGUCAGCCUAUCAUGGCCUUCAUGUUCUUAUCCCCUGCUAGAAGCACCUUCACAGUGGACGUGAAAAGUCAACUUAUAUGAUGAACAAUUUACUGUGUGUUAACUCAAGAAAAUGCAAGAUGUCAGAAGGAUUUCUUCUUUUCCUCUUAGAACAGAGGAAUUUUCCUUAAGAUUGUUUAAAGGUGUGCUCUGCUUUUCUUGGUUUGAGGAAUUGUUAGUUUCCCCCUUUUCAUCAUUCAAACAUACAAAUUAAAAAAGUACUUCAACAUUCUUGGGAACAACUAAGACACAAAAUUCACAUAUGACACUACUUAGAAAAACUGACAACAUAAAAUUAUUUCUAUAAGGUAGUGAGCAUCAAAGCUGCAAUUUUAGAAAGUGCUAGAGAAGCUUAUGUCUGUUUAUAUACUAUAUUCGCUUUUUUCUUUCUGCUUCACUGUUCAAACCGGCAUUGUUACAUUGGUUCAGAAAACGGAAUGGUAAAAGAAAAAUCGCUGAAAUGUCUAAAUUCUUCCUUUUUUUUUUUGUUAUUUGCAAGAAGAGUCACAAGGGAUCAGGACACACACUGUGGCUCCUAAACAGGCAACAGAUAGAUGCCAUAACCAGAUUCUUCUCACUCUGAAACUUCAUGUGGAAAUCCUGCAUCCUUCUUCAUGCAGAAGAGCCUGGCUCCCUGGAAGAGUCAAAGAGAGCAAUAUUAGAGAAAAUCCUAAUCCCAUGAACAUGAGGGUAAUGCCACUCACAAAAGUAACUCCAUUCAUGCAUGAAAAUAUCUGAAAGUUGAGGCUAUAAGACAGCAGCUAACUUAAUGCUAGCUAUUUAGAGGAGGCGAGGGAACAGUCUUUAGUAUUUUUUUUGCUUGAUAGAGCUACCACCUAUUAAAAACAGUAACAAAACCAACUAUAAACAAACAACCCCCCAAAAAAGAAAAUGAAGAAAUGAAGGUUAUAUCUCACUAGUUUCAAACUGGUGCACUUGUAAAGAUAUUGGUGCACUUAAAAGAACUCUGCAAUGUAAAGAUAAAGGGAAAAUGAAUCUACAAAAAAAUUAUUAAAUUACCUUAUGAAGUUUAUAAUUUUGAAAUUUACGUGGGAAAGGGAAGUAAACCAUUCCCUAUAGACAGUGUAUUAUGGGAAAAGUGAUUCCCUCCCCCAGUUCUAAGUAACUACUAGGAUGGGAAGUGUGAAGGUACAAUAUGCAAGAAUUUACUAAAGAAAAUUGUCAGAGGUUUUUUUUCUAUAAGCAGUAUCAAACAUUUUAAAAACUGCACUUUCAUUAUUUAGAAAAGUAUUUUCUUAUCUAAAAAGCUUCAUAUGUUUUCUUUGUGGUCUACUUGUAUUUCACUCCUUUCUUUGCACAUGGAAUUCCUCUGCCAUAACCUUACACUGCUGGAUACACAAAAAAGAAUUAGUUUGACAGGGAGGUUUUGGUGAAAUAUAGUAAUGAAAGUGAAGUAAAUCUUCUGCUUAUCACUCAAGAAAAAAUGGUGUAUUUCACUCCCUGAGCUUUAACAUCGUACGCCCUGCAGCAAGUAAUUUACAGACGAUCAUCACCUUGCUACUCUCGCCUCUCAUUUCCCUACUUGAACUCUCUUCAUUAACCCAGCAAUUUGCAAUGGCAUUGGGUGGUGGAUUUACCACAGGACCUGCUCCAAAUGGUCUCUGGCGGCAAGAGAGCCAAAAAGUAAAUUGAAUUUCCCAUGUGAAAGCCUCUUUUUCUUUUUUCCCUUUUUUGUUUUCUCUUGUCUUAAAAUGUAAUAUAAUUGCCAUGAUCCAGGUCUGGUUAAUAACAUAAAUAUAGAGCUAGAGGGUCAAAAUACUACCAUCCCUAGAAUAAAUAAUAAAUCAAUUUGAAAGGUAAUAUUUUACAUUUGAUUCUAUUUUUAAAAUUUCUAUUUCCCGUGUGGCUUUUUGGUUUAGAGUAGAUUUUUAAUGUUAUUGCAGUAUUUUUAGGAUUGGUUUAUUUUUGCUUGAUAAUAUUAGGGUCUAAAUAUUACUGUCCUGGGAGGUUUGGAAAGGAAUUUUGAACCUAGUCUAUCGUGUGACGUAAUCUAAAUCAAAAUGACAUUAUUAUGUGCCAGGACUUGCUUUGCUUUUGCUAAACAAAUGUCACUAGGCCGGUGAACGUUUGUGUGGAAAAGACCACAACGAAAACUAUUACCUUCCUGGAUAUCUGCAUGCCUCGAAGUGCAUGUCUUUCAUGUAUCAUCAGCAGUAAUGCCAAACCUCCACCUUUUGAAGCCAAAACCUUCUUCAAACAGCUGAGUUAUGCCUGAGCUUCCAUCUUAACUUAGUUUGAAUUCUGAUUUUGAUACGGCUUUUUUUUUUUUUUUUCGUUUUCACUUUUCCAGAGGUUGCUCUGUACUCAGAAAAAGACCAUUAACUGAUUUUUUACUCAGUGAAGAACAGAUUGUUAUGUGACAUGUGUGGUACCAGGAGUGUAGACUAACAGUAGAUUGACAUGCCAGGAAGAAGGCACAUGGGCUUUACACACAGGUUUUUAUAAAAUACGUAAAAAUUUUUAUGUGAUGGACUCGACACUUCACCAGAGAGGGAGCAAGGGUAACAGUCCUACUGAUUGCUGGGUUUUGCCAUUGGAGCUCAAUCGGGAAAGAGCACCUAUUUAAGACAUAUAAUGAGCACAGACUGUCUUUGCUCUGCUGGACUAAUCUCCCCGAGCAACUCCUUGUUCCUCUAAGGGUUUACUCCCCAAAACUGAUGCUAUCUCUUCCUACCAUACCUUCUGCAUACACACGUACAAAGGACUUUGAAGCAAUUACCAUCCUUAACAUCCUAGAACAAUUUAAGGAGAAUAAGACUUGCAAAUUGAAGUAGUGGUCAUUUCUAUCAACUUUGAUUUAGUUCAAUGAUUGCAAAUAAUAAUUAGUAGUUGGUAUUUGAACACAUUAUCAUUGAAAACUCCCCAGUGAUUACAGAACAUCGAGGUCAUUUAUACGAACAGUUGCACCUAUUCCAAGGCAAAUGAGUGGGAUUUGUGGCUGAAACCCAGGGCCUUUUACAUGCCUUGAAUAAUCUCACUGGAAGUGUUUCAGUGCCCUCUUAUCACAUUUCUCUUGUAUGAAUUACUGUUUCACCAUUUCACCUCUCAAGAUGAAAAUUCUGGCAGCACUCAUGAUAGAUGAAUAAUUUCAAACCCUAAAAUUUCCCUUUCAAUUCUUUACAACAUCUGUCUAUUUUUAAUAUUUAAUUAAAAGUUAGGAUAAAUAUGCAGUUGCUGAAGUGAGCCCUGAGGAAUUUAGGGUUACUGCAGGAAUACUAAGUGCAAAAUGAACUUAUGUAGUUACCAGACAUUACAAAGAAGUUCAAAGUCGUUGCUACACUAUUUGAAUCAAAAUUUUCUGUAAUAUCUGUCAUUUCUUUAAAGUUUGCUUUUUUCUAAGGUUUAUUAGUAAAGAGUUUAUAUUGACCAAAUAUUUUCUUAGGAAACUUCAUGUAAAAUCAGGAUAUUGAACACUGUUUUGGAAUAUCAACCGCUGCCUUAAACUUUCUUUUUUUUUAAAAAAAACCCCAAAAAGUAGCAGCAAAUCCCCAAAAUAAGUUUGGAGUUUUUCUCUGAUUUCAUGUUAAAAUAAAAAUAAUUAUUUCCUGCUCA